rnacentral:rRNA from 1 species
CAGUAGCCGCGGGAAUACAGAGGGUGCGAGCGUAAAUCGGAUUUACUGGGCGUAAAGCGUGCGUAGGCGGCUUCUUAAGUCGGAUGUGAAAUCCCUGAGCUUAACUUAGGAAUUGCAUUCGAUACUGGGAAGCUAGAGUAUGGGAGAGGAUGGUAGAAUUCCAGGUGUAGCGGUGAAAUGCGUAGAGAUCUGGAGGAAUACCGAUGGCGAAGGCAGCCAUCUGGCCUAAUACUGACGCUGAGGUACGAAAGCAUGGGGAGCAAACAGGAUUAGAUACCCGCGUAGUCCCUGUCUCUUAUAC